CACAUGUCUGAGCACACAUAAGGGACUCUGUGAAUAUGUGUGUAUUUGUUGUGUGCAUGCCCGCAGAAUGGGAUACAGAGACUCACUCUAUUCAUCAGGGAUUUGUUUUAAUCAGGAAUUGGCAGGCAUGGGAAGAGCACGCUGUCCAGGGUCGGCAAGGCCUGGAAAUGUCAGAGCAUCAGAAUACUGAAAAUAAAAGACAUGGUUAAAUCUAUUUUGGUGGCGAGGCUGGGGACACUGGGAAUAUGAUACUGAUCAAUCUAGAAUGUGUGGAGGAGUGGACAGCAGUUUUUAAUCAGACAAGACCUUCAACCCCGGCACAGACCAUCAAUUGGCAGGUGUUAAAACAGACCAAAAUGUGUUCUCCCGCCCAGAAGCAAGCAAAGCCAACCCCAGCUGCAGUUCCCUGACAGUCCAGUGAAUUCAGCCAAAGGAAAUGGCCCCACAUGGAGGGCAAGUGACAGAAGACCUGAUGACUCCGGUGGCUCAGCGGAGAGUGCAUUAAUAGGCUUGACCACUUCUGCUCGAUCUUCAGAAGGGGAAGCGGAGGCAGGAGGAUGCAGCAAGACCUGUUCCCUCCUCUAACGGCACUCAUAGGACAGCCCAGCCACACAUUCAAAGAAUCUUGAAGGAAUAGGAUGGUUGGUAUGGUUGGUGUGGAAGAAGGUUCAUAAAUUCUGGAUUUAGCUUUGUGGGAUUCAGCUGACCUGAAAUUUAUACCUGUGCAGGUAGGUGGUUGCUGGGUAGGGUGACCACUACUGUCUCUCUCCAUCACCCAGGGCUGUUUUCAGCUCAAAGCCACAGAAGCCCAGGCAUGGUGGCAUCUCCGGGGGAAGUUGCCUUAUUCCAGAUUCACAGGUCCGGGGCGAAGGGGCCAGGCAGGGCAGGUGUGGGGCGGCAGGAUAUCGCCCUGGGCCUGGCUCCUUCUGCCUUUCUGCCACCAUCUUCAGCGGUGCCAUUACCUCGAGGCCUUCUGUGGUUGCUGGAGCUGCCACGCUCGGCCUCCUGUCUGCCUCCAGAUGGGAGAGGAGGAAGGAGGAGGUGAGAGCAGGAAAGAGCUUACAUAAAAGACCACAUUUUCCCAGAAUCCCCAGCAGCUGCCUGUUCUCCCCCUCCACUGGGCUAGAGCUGUGUCACACAGGCUGAGCGGCCAGGAAGCUGGGCACCAUCCAGGGAGUGUGUGAUCGUCGGGGUCCUGUUGAUUCCUGCUUUUGAGUAAUGAAGGUGACCAAACCACAUGACCCUGUCUGCAAAGAUUCCACCUGGACUCCCAGUUCCUCCAAGGAACCGUCAUGUGGUUCAAAUCCAAUGAAAUUCUCUAAAUCUCCACCCUCCUCAGGGUGCAGAGUUGGCUGCUUCUCUGUGCCCCCUGCUGAUCACGGCAACCCCUGGGUGCCUCGGCCUGCGAAGCCCCAGCUGUCCUCCGUCUGCAGACAAGCCGAGGUAUGAAAGCCUCCUCGCUGGCCCAGGAGCCUGUCAUUGUCCUCCAGCAGCUCUAGCCUGGAUGCGGUCCCAGAGAUAAAUCAUAUCUCUUUAAAAAGCCACAGUGGCCCAUUAUUUCUGCUUGAAAAUACCCCUGGCUCUCUGCUGGUGAGCUGGUUGACAGGCCCCGGCUGUUGUGCUCAGUGCUGCAAAGAGUCACGUCAGUCUGUCGACUUGUGUAGUGAGCAAGCUGGUAGCUUCAGAUGGUAUGCACAUGAAAUCCCGUCCUGGCAUCCAGGACUUGGCUGGGGGUUGCAGAGAGAACCACAUCUGCAAAAGAGUUGGUAUUUUACAGUCCCAGCCUCACGUCCUUGUGAAAUGCCCUGUUCAUACUGGGCUACAGGGGCGGGAGCAAAAAUGAUACAAUGACAAUUCCUGGGCUGUGUUCUGCAAUAUUCUACAACACUUCCACAAGAAAACUCCAAUCUUUAAAAAUAGACUGAGCACAAUUAAACAAUCACUAUAGAUAUUUCUUUUCUUUUUUUUUUUUUUGAGAUGGAGUCU
rnacentral:lncRNA from 1 species